UACGGAGGAUCCGAGCGUUAUCCGGAUUUAUUGGGUUUAAAGGGCGCGUAGGCGGAUGUUUAAGUCAGUUUUGAAAGUUUAAGGCUCAACCUUGAAAUUGCAGUAGAUACUGGACGUCUUGUGUGCAUUAAAUGAGGGAGGACUUCGUGGUGUAGCUGUUAAAUGCUUAGAUAUCACGAAGAAAUCCAAUUGCGAAGGAAGCGAACAGGACUGUAACUGACGCUGAUGCUCGAAAGUGUGGGUAUCAAACAGGAUUAGAUACCAUGGUAGUCAACACAGUAAACGAUGAAUACUCGCUGUUUGCGAUAUACAGUAAGCGGCCAAGCGAAAGCGUUAAGUAUUCCACCUGGGGAGUACGCCGGCAACGGUGA
rnacentral:rRNA from 1 species